rnacentral:rRNA from 1 species
CCUACGGGAGGCAGCAGUGGGGAAUUUUGGACAAUGGGCGAAAGCCUGAUCCAGCCAUUCCGCGUGCAGGAUGAAGGCCCUCGGGUUGUAAACUGCUUUUGUACAGAACGAAAAGGUUUCUACUAAUACUAGGAGCUCAUGACGGUACUGUAAGAAUAAGCACCGGCUAACUACGUGCCAGCAGCCGCGGUAAUACGUAGGGUGCAAGCGUUAAUCGGAAUUACUGGGCGUAAAGCGUGCGCAGGCGGUUAUAUAAGUCAGAUGUGAAAUCCCCGGGCUCAACCUGGGAACUGCAUUUGAGACUGUAUAGCUAGAGUACGGUAGAGGGGGAUGGAAUUCCGCGUGUAGCAGUGAAAUGCGUAGAUAUGCGGAGGAACACCGAUGGCGAAGGCAAUCCCCUGGACCUGUACUGACGCUCAUGCACGAAAGCGUGGGGAGCAAACAGGAUUAGAUACCCUGGUAGUCCACGCCCUAAACGAUGUCAACUGGUUGUUGGGUCUUAACUGACUCAGUAACGAAGCUAACGCGNGAGUAGACGCGNGGNGGUAACGGUCGCGAGUUAGUAAGUUACGAAAGAAGUUAGAGGCGNGAGACGNGCCGACGGACGACGACGAGGGAGGAGGAG